CUGAAGACUGUGUAUGAUCUGUCAGACAGGCGUUGGGGGCAUUUUCUUUUGCAUAGUGGGGAUUCUUCUGUCAUCAGCAGUGGUGGUCUUCCUCAGCCUAGUGUGUUGUUUCGUCUUCAUGAUAUUCCAGACAGUUGAUUUCAGUCAUCCCAAGGUGUUCCUGAUGUCUCUGAUGAACCACUCAAACCCAAACCAAUCCUGUCACAGCGAUUAAAAACUAGAAACCUACCAAUUUUGAGUAAAACUGCUCCAGCACAUUUUGUUCUUCAGAGGUAAGAAUUUGCACAUCUGCACACAUUUGUGCCCCUAAUGCAGGGCAGGAGAAUGUACAUUUAUUUUUUCAACAAGAUGAGAUCCUUUCAUUCCGCGUGAAAUCGGCCUGCAGUACUUUACAGCUAAAUGCCCAGGUUUAUGUAUGGAAACUCAUGUGCUGGACAUUUGUUUUCCCCUCUUUUUUGAAAAUGGGUGGAUAGUUUGAAAUAAAUAACUGAGUAAGACCACUGAGGGUUGUAAACGUCCGGCUCCUCUUUUUGGUAAUAAUUUACUGCGCGGCACGUGAUUUCUGACUGCCUCAGCAUGGUUUUGUUGUUCAUCACAUUAAACAGGCCCCAGGAUGUGGAAGCCCCAUGGGAAUAACAGAGUGCCAAAGCUAAAGAAAAAUCGAAAGAGGCGGUGGGUUUGGCGGGUGGUGGGGGGAAGGAGAAGGGACAGUCUUCUGGUACCUUAAGGCGGGACAGGAAGUUUGUCAGGAAGGAUGCCAGCCUAAGGGCACUUUCUGGCAAUAAUAACAACAUUGAAACCCUCCAGCACCCAGGUCAUGAUAAAUCACGACCUCCUCCAUGUGCGUAACCCUCAACUACCACCCCCCAACACACUUUGUCCGCCCAGAUUGGAAACUGGCCGAAAGCGACGUUUAGUCAAUGGUGCUUCACCGCCUGACGAGGGAAAAAAAAAAUCAGUUAGAUGGGGUGAUGGUGAGGGGUGAGGCGAGAACACAGAUCUGAUUUCACUUCCUGAAUGUGGUGAACGUUUAGAAAACUGCAACUGAAAACGUCUGAGGUGACUGGCCCUUUUAUUCAUGGGCUAUGCCCUACGCAGAAAACAAAUGUAGAAGAGGUUGGCAAGCGAUUUCAUGCCAUCUUGAGCUAUGAUUUUCAGACAAUAUUGAAAGUCAGCUUCAUUACUGACAUCUGCAAGAAAUAUGGGCAUGAAAAAUGAAAGGGUGAUCCAGUUAGGUCCGCCUACAGUAUAUUCAUUUAAUUUCAUUCCAUUCAUUCUUAUAUAGCAGCCGCACAGUGGUAUGUGCUGCUGCCUCCACCAUCGAGUACCCUGGGUAAAAAUCAAACACCUAUCCUUUUGUACUUGGCAAGGGCACCCCCCCCCCAUCACAUCCCAAAGAAAUGCAGAGAAAGGUUAACUGGUCACUCUAGAUUGGCCACUUGUGUGUGUGGACGUGACGGGUGGGUCUCCUGUCCAGGGCGAUUCCAGCUUUGGGACAGAUGCUGACCCUGAAAAGGACUGCUGUUAUUAUUACUUUUUAUUUAUAUGGACAUUUGAAACACAAUUAGUUACACUUCUUUUUUUUUUGUUUUUUUUUUUUCCAGUUGGAGCACAGGCAGAUGAAGUGACUUGCUACGGUCACAGAGUGUCACACUCACAACCUCAGGGUUUGAAGACCAAAGCCUUAACCACCACACCAUAUGGUCCGACACCUUUAGUCAAGAUGACUUAAAACAUCUGAGAGACUGCAUCUGCCCCUGCCAGUGUUUCUCAGCCACUGAACCUGCUUGAGGAAGAAGGCUUUGCGUUUUUUUUAAUCUGAAGAAGUGAGCUAAAGCAGAUGCUUGCCCUCAUCGCUACUCGUAUCCUGUGUGCUUGGAGUAAAAGCUAUUUUGAAUAAAGCCUUGAAACUGUUCCUGCCUGCUCAACAUUAUUUUUCCUUGGAAAUUUGGUCUCACCGUCUUGUCUCUCAUGCAACCCAAGCUUGACAAUACGUUUAGCCCUUCACGUGCAGUGAAGUCAACAACAUUCCCUUUUUAUUAAAUGAUUUUAUUUAA